CUUUACCAUACCACCUUGUCAAUACCUGAGAAGCUAGGCAGAGUUGGGCCUGUUUAGUACUUGGAUGGGAGACUUCUGGGGAUACCAGGUGUCACAAUGA
rnacentral:rRNA from 1 species